GAUGAACGCUGGCGGCGUGCCUAAUACAUGCAAGUCGAGCGAACAGACGAGGAGCUUGCUCCUUUGACGUUAGCGACGGACGGGUGAGUAACACGUAGGUAACCUACCUAUAAGACUGGGAUAACUUCGGGAAACCGGAGCUAAUACCGGAUAAUAUUUCGAACCGCAUGGUUCGAUAGUGAAAGAUGGCUUUGCUAUCACUUAUAGAUGGACCUGCGCCGUAUUAGCUAGUUGGUAAGGUAACGGCUUACCAAGGCAACGAUACGUAGCCGACCUGAGAGGGUGAUCGGCCACACUGGAACUGAGACACGGUCCAGACUCCUACGGGAGGCAGCAGUAGGGAAUCUUCCGCAAUGGGCGAAAGCCUGACGGAGCAACGCCGCGUGAGUGAUGAAGGUCUUCGGAUCGUAAAACUCUGUUAUUAGGGAAGAACAAACGUGUAAGUAACUGUGCACGUCUUGACGGUACCUAAUCAGAAAGCCACGGCUAACUACGUG
rnacentral:rRNA from 1 species